rnacentral:rRNA from 1 species
UACGAAGGGGGGCUAGCGUUGCUCGGAAUCACUGGGCGUAAAGGGUGCGUAGGCGGCCGUGCAAGUCUGGCGUGAAAGCCCCGGGCUCAGCCCGGGAAGUGCGCUCGAAACUGCGCGGCUCGAGUGCCGGAGGGGAGAGUGGAAUUCCUGGUGUAGCGGUGAAAUGCGUAGAUAUCAGGAGGAACACCGGUGGCGAAGGCGGGUCUCUGGGCCGAUACUGACGCUGAGGAGCGAAAGCGUGGGGAGCGAACAGG